AAAAAGAAAAAGAAAAAGGCGUAAAUUGUUGUUGAAAAAGAGUUAUUGAUGAAGAUGUAAGGUUUGAAGAAGGUAGCUGAGGUUCAUAGAUUUUGACAGUUUGUUUGCAGUAAGUGGGAAGUGAUUGGAACAGGAAGAAAGAGAGAAACAUAAAUGAAGGGAAGGCAGGGUGGGUUGAGGGCAUUUAACAGAAGAAAACUGUCUGUUGAUAAUGAAGAAGAAAGAUGACCAAGAAAACAGACUUGUUUUAAUUUGGUCGCUGUUCAAGUCUGCAUUUAAGUGAAUUCAAGGAGGUUUAAUGAAGGCAGGUGAACUUACUUCAAAUUGAACACUCCAUCUAUCUCCAUAUGCCUUUAAUGGCUUGGUAGUUGCCACCCUUUUCUCUUCAUCACCUUCUUUCUAGUACUACUACCUCCCUCUAUAUGUCUUUCUUUAUGUCAUCACAACCCAAUAACCUUUUUUUUUUUUUUUUUCUUAUUAAUUGCUGAUUCACUGUCAUAACUAAGUAUAUCUAAUUAAUUCAUUUCGUUUCAUCCACAGUUAAAUUUGGUUGUAACUGGUGAUAG
rnacentral:lncRNA from 1 species